AUUGAACGCUGGCGGCAUGCUUUACACAUGCAAGUCGAACGGCAGCGCGGGCUUCGGCCUGGCGGCGAGUGGCGAACGGGUGAGUAAUACAUCGGAACGUGCCCAGUAGUGGGGGAUAGCACGGCGAAAGCCGGAUUAAUACCGCAUACGACCUGAGGGUGAAAGCGGGGGAUCUUCGGACCUCGCGCUAUUGGAGCGGCCGAUGGCAGAUUAGCUAGUUGGUGGGGUAAAGGCCUACCAAGGCGACGAUCUGUAGCUGGUCUGAGAGGACGACCAGCCACACUGGAACUGAGACACGGCCCAGACUCCUACGGGAGGCAGCAGUGGGGAAUUUUGGACAAUGGGCGAAAGCCUGAUCCAGCAAUGCCGCGUGUGUGAUGAAGGCCUUCGGGUUGUAAAGCACUUUUGGCGGGAACGAAAAGGACUGUGCCAAUACCACGGUUCGAUGACGGUACCCGCAGAAUAAGCACCGGCUAACUACGUG
rnacentral:rRNA from 1 species